rnacentral:rRNA from 1 species
GUGAAGAAAAGUUGAAAAGUACUUUGAAGAGUUAACGAGUACGUGAAACCGUUCAGAGGUAAACCUAAGAAACCCAAAAAAUCGAACGGGGAGAUUCAUCGUCAACGAAACUGGCUUCGCGUCGGUGGGCGAUAACCCCGCGGUGUGUCCUAAGCGGCACGCGCGUGCGGGCACGCUACCGAACGCCGAUGUCCGGUUUUCGUCGUCGUGCACUUCUCUCCUAGUAGAACGUCGCGACUCGCUGUGUGUCGGUCACCGACCCGGGUGCGGUUACUGUCACGUCGCCCGUAAAAACGGCGCGCGGCAAACACCCCCGGUCGCCCGACCAGCUGCCCGGCGGU